rnacentral:ncRNA from 2 species
UCACCAUCAGGAGCGACCGAGAGACCUGGCUCGUCGACGUCGCAGCAACCCCCCUCUCCUGUCGAGGGUGUGGGUGCUACCGCCAGGACCGAUGGAGG